UUGACUAUGUAAUGAGAAUUGCUAUUAUUUGCAUCAGCUGGUCGCGAGAUCAGCCGAUAACCUCUAGAGGCCUUAGGUCGGACUCUUCAGAUUAUCUCCUCAUCAGGCUAAUCACGGUUAUUGACCCGGCUUCUUGCCGGGUCUUUUUUUG
rnacentral:sRNA from 1 species